AAUUAUUAUGAGGCGGUGUAGGCAAGCGGAGGGAGGAAGGGGCGCCGGAGCAGUCUGAGCCCAGCUUCGGGUGGAAGAGGACUGCAUCUGGAGCCCCGAAGAACGGCAGAAGAAAAGAGGCCAAAAAGACAGCAAAGAGACAGAUGAAUAGUUCUGUCUGUGUGUGACAGGCAUCGCCAAUCUUGUUGGGGUGGGGGGGGCGGGUGUAAUUUUUUUUUUUUUUUUUUUUGAUGGCUUGUCCUGGAAACACAUCAAGCUCAACUCCUGUGUCCAGCUCGCUUCUCUGCUGGACUCCUUGAUUUUUUUUUAAUCAUUGUUUGAUUUUGAGCAGUAACCAGGCUUUUUUUUCCAGAUGUUAGUCCACACCUAUUCAUCCAUGGACCGGCACGAUGGUGUCCCGAGCCACAGCUCGCGGCUCUCCCAGCUGGGCUCGGUCUCCCAAGGACCCUACUCGAGCGCCCCGCCGCUGUCCCACACCCCGUCGUCGGACUUCCAGCCGCCCUACUUCCCACCCCCCUACCAGCCGCUCCCCUACCACCAGAGCCAGGACCCCUACUCCCACGUCAACGACCCCUACUCCCUGAACCCACUGCACCAGCCCCAGCAACAUCCCUGGGGGCAACGGCAGCGGCAAGAAGUGGGUUCGGAAGCCGGCUCUCUCCUGCCCCAGCCUCGGGCCGCCUUGCCCCAGCUCUCGGGCCUUGACCCCCGGAGGGACUACCACUCGGUCCGCCGGCCGGACGUGCUGCUGCAUUCGGCGCACCACGGCCUGGACGCGGGCAUGGGUGACAGCCUCUCACUGCACGGCCUCGGCCAUCCCGGAAUGGAAGACGUCCAG
rnacentral:sRNA from 1 species